rnacentral:lncRNA from 1 species
AACUAAUUAACCCAUGUACUAAAUGAAUGAAUUAGAAACCCUGUAGAUACCCUAAAAGUUAAAAGGCAACCACUAACUAUAAACCUUAAGCACUAAACCCAAAAUAGUAAAUGCAAAGACAUAAACUAAUGAAUCAAAAACCAUAAAUGGUACCCUAACCAUUAGAUCUAUGUUCUACAAAUUAUGAUUGAGCUUUGAGAGUUGAGGAUGACGAUAAAUACUACUAAAAACAAGAUCAUGGCACUGAAGGGGCCACUUGAAAUUCAAUCAAAUUAGAGACAAAAUGUAUGCAUUUAUUUAUAUAUAUAUAUAUAUAAUAACCACUAAAC